GACCUUGGUGGCUAUGGUUUUGGAGAGGUAAUUGACAUUUUCAACUUGUGAAACUUGCCAACAUUUGAUGCUGAUGUUGACAUAGAUUUGUUUAAGCUUGCUGCUCCUGUCUAGGUGAUAUUUAAGGAUAGAUGCACUAAUAUGGAGUCAUCAGAGUAUAGGAGCCAUAUAGAUUGCUUACCAACAGGGAAAACAAGCACUGGGGUUGCACAUGGCUCUGUCUUUGAACAGGAAGGAGACAAGGUAGAAAUUAUAAUGCCACAAUGGUAGUACUAGUUUUUAUUAUAUUCAUAUGUUUUGGACCUUGUUAUUCCCAACUUCAACAAGUUCACUUGGAAUAUUUUAUCCAGUUUCCAUAUCAAAGUCUUUAUGUAAUUAAGUUGCAUUUCUUUGUAUUUCAGUCCUUAUAUUAUGGGCAGAACCUUCAGUACUGUAGAUGCUGUAAAUAAUAGUUGCAUAUGAAUUGCUGGAGAUUGGAUGAACUAAAAAAUUAAUGGUAUGGAUAGUUUCAUUCAAUCCUUGUCCGAUGUAGGCUGG
rnacentral:misc_RNA from 1 species